GGAGAAGUCAGCUCCAGGAAUGAAGUCACUGCUGACAUUUUACAAAUGUGGUUCAGAGCUGCUGCCUGCUGCCGUGUGGUCGGCCGGCGGUUCUCCAAGUUUGUUUAGUGAUCUCAAAAAUAAAAAAGGAAAGAAAUUCUCGAGAGACCACAUUGAGGUGACUAUAUCAAAUUGCAGAGUGAAUGGAAAUGCUAAAGGUGAUGGCUUGGACAACAGUGUAGCUUCCCCCAGCACAGGUGACGAUGAUGACCCUGAUAAGGACAAAAAGCGUCACAAAAAGCGUGGCAUCUUUCCCAAAGUAGCCACAAAUAUCAUGAGGGCGUGGCUGUUCCAGCAUCUAACACACCCUUACCCUUCUGAAGAACAGAAAAAGCAGUUGGCGCAAGACACGGGACUCACCAUCCUUCAAGUGAACAAUUGGUUUAUUAAUGCCCGGAGAAGAAUAGUGCAGCCCAUGAUAGACCAGUCCAACCGAGCAGUAAGUCAAGGAACACCUUAUAAUCCUGAUGGACAGCCCAUGGGAGGUUUCGUAAUGGACGGUCAGCAACAUAUGGGAAU
rnacentral:sRNA from 1 species